rnacentral:rRNA from 1 species
CUUGAACGCUGGCGGCAGGCCUAACACAUGCAAGUCGAGCGGUAGAGAGAAGCUUGCUUCUCUUGAGAGCGGCGGACGGGUGAGUAAUGCCUAGGAAUCUGCCUGAUAGUGGGGGAUAACGUCCGGCAACGGACGCUAAUACCGCAUACGUCCUACGGGCGAACGUGGGGGCUCUUCGGACCUCACGCUAUCAGAUGAGCCUAGGUCGGAUUAGCUAGUUGGUGAGGUAAUGGCUCAACAAGGCGACGAUCCGUAACUGGUGUGAGAGGAUGAUCAGUCACACUGGAACUGAGACACGGUCCAGACUCCUACGGGAGGCAGCAGUGGGGAAUAUUGGACAAUGGGCGAAAGCCUGAUCCAGCCAUGCCGCGUGUGUGAAGAAGGUCUUCGGAUUGUAAAGCACUUUAAGUUGGGAGGAAGGGUCGUUACCUAAUACGUGGCGAUUUUGACGUUACCAACAGAAUAAGUACCGGCUAACUCUGUGCCAGCCGCCGCAGUAAUAC